ensembl:lncRNA
CUCCCGGGUGCAUUUUGUCUUGGGAUCCCAGAUUUCAGGGGAUGUUGUCUCAGGGCUGAAAUACCGGUGAGCCAGGGAGUAGAUCCAGGAAGAAGAUUUGUGUGUGGACUUCACAGCACAUAGCCUGGCCUAGGGUCCUGGCUGUGCCCCUUUGGGGUGUGAGCUUGGGGAAGUCACCUCACCACCAUGAGCCUUAGCUCCCCUCUCUGUACAAUGGGCAGUGACUGUCGACCUCACAGGGUUGGCACGAGGGUGGGAUGAGUGCCCACAGGAGGAGUCCAUGCCUGGGGGCAUGCUUGGGAGUGCCCAUGAGGACUGGCCUUCCCUGGCACGAUGUUACCCAUAAACCCCGGGGCAGGGCUUGCCCCCCAGGAGAGCUGAGAGGUGUCUGGGACUGCAUGCAGCCAGAUGCGAUGGUAUUGCAACUCAAGGCGGACUCCUCAGUACUUAAAACUGUCACCCGCACUACUGUUGUUGGCAUUCCCUGCCCAGUUUCUUCUUGAAUGCCGUCAGUUCCCUUUUGUCUUGGGCACUCGGGCAGAGGAGCGGCCUGUACUUGGCAGGGGAGCCAGGCACCCAGCAGAGAGGGUUUCGCACUCCAGGAUGGGGGCCGCAUCCCCUGCAGGCAGAAGGUGAAGUCAGGGUGCAAUGGGGUGUGGUGGAGGCUGUGGCUCUUCUCUGAUCACUGGGAAUCUGGACUGUGCUCUUUUCUCUAUUUACUGCCACUUGGUGACCUGGUAUGGAUUUGUAUCUAUAGCGAGUCAAGUUUCAUGUUGAAAACUGGACUCCCAGGCCUGGAGCUGCAGUGUGCCCUCUGCUAUCUCAGCCCAGGCUCGGUUCCCCUCCCGAAGCCCAGCUCCAUUUCCUCCCUUGGGGCUGAUGGUGAGGGGCCCUAAGCCCUGGCUAGAGUCUGACCCGGAGGGACUGCGCUUUCUGCUAUUUCUUAUCUGCUUCUGCAUAUUGCCUUAGUCUUUGAGCCUUCACUGCUCUCUCUAUACCAUGGGAGUGAGGAGCGGCCUCUCCCUGUGGGUUUGUAGGGCUACCAUGGUGCCAGGACUUGCGGGAGCCAGGGCAGGGGGCUGUGCAGGUUUGGAAAAUGAAGAUCCACUGGCCUGACCCCAGAGAAGCCACAGCAAAUAGCAGAAUGUGUGACAAAUAGCACAGGUAUUUCACCCCAUCAGUCGUGAACGAAUGAAUGAACGGACCAGACAGCGAAGGGGAAGGGAUGCACUUCAAGCCUGACCCCUUCUGAUACUCUUAUGAAGGUCAGGAACCGUGCUGGGUCCUUUCAACAAAUGCUGGAGGAACAGAAAGUUCGAGAAAGUGGGAUCUCCUGGGGGUGGGUCAGAGAGCGUGGGCUCUGGGGAAACUUCUGUUUGGGGUUAUAGUGGCUGAUGAGCUCAGGCAGGCCCCCUCACCCCUUCACUGGGCUCUGUGCAGAGUUCUUGAGGGGGAAGAAAUCAGCUCACGUGAGUAAAAGAUGUGGUACUUUGGCAGUGCGUGGUAGAGGAUGACCGAAUCAUCGCCUCCCAUCUUGGCGUUGUAACGCAGACUUGGUGCAGCUCAUUAAUAAGGUCCACUUCUGCUUUGCGUUUCAGGUAGCUGCUCUGCUCUCAUCGGUGUGGUUGAGGAGGAAGAAUCCCUCUUCCUGGCUGGCCCUCUGGAGCUGUGCUUUUGACCUGGAGGCUGGGGGGCUGCUGGCCACAGGGCUGCUGCACAGGCUUGGCCCGCAGGACCAUUGCUGGCUUGGCCUGGCGACACUGGUGGCUGCAGACUGUCCAGCCUGGGACAGCCCCUCUUUGACCUCGAGCCGUGCAGAAGCAGCCCCAUGAAGGUGGCCAGCCAUGCAAUGCUCCUGGAAGGCCGUGCUCCUCCUGGCCCUGGCCUCCAUCGCUAUCCAGUACACGGCCAUCCGCACUUUCACCGCCAAGUCCUUCCACACCUGCCCUGGGCUGGCCGAGGCCGGGCUGGCCGAGCGGCCGUGCGAGGAGGGCCCCACCUUCGCCUAUAACCUCUCUCGGAAGACCCACGUCCUCAUCCUGGCCACCACUCGAAGUGGCUCGUCCUUCGUGGGCCAGCUCUUCAACCAGCACCUGGACGUCUUCUACCUGUUCGAGCCCCUCUACCACGUCCAGAACACGCUCAUCCCCCGCUUCACCCAGGGCAAGAGCCCGGCCGACCGAGCGGGUCAUGCUGGGUGCCAGCCGUGACCUGCUGCGGAGCCCUCUAUGACUGCGACCUCUACUUCCUGGAGAACUACAUCAAGCCGCCUCCAGUCAACCACACCACCGACAGGAUCUUCCGCCGAGGGGCCAGCAGGGUCCUCUGCUCCCGGCCGGUGUGUGACCCCCGGGGAGCCCCGACCUGGUCCUGGAAGAGGGGACUGCGUGCGGAAGUGUGGGCUGCUGAACCUGACCGUGGCCGCCGAGGCCUGCCGCGAGCGCAGCCAUGUGGCCAUCAAGACGGUGCGGGUGCCAGAGGUGAACGACUUGCGGGCUCUGGUCGAAGACCCCCGCUGAACCUCAAGGUCAUCCAGCUGGUCCGAGACCCCGGGGCAUUCUGGCCUCCCGAAGCGAGACCUUCCGUGACACGUACCGGCUGUGGCGGCUCUGGUGCACGUGCACGGGGAGGAAGCCGUACAACCUGGACGUGACGCAGCUGACCACGGUGUGCGAGGACUUCUCCAACUCCGUGUCCACGGGCCUCAUGCGGCCCUCGUGGCUCAAGGGCAAGUACAUGCUGGUGCGCUACGAGGACCUGGCCAGGAACCCCAUGAAGAAGACCGAGGAGAUCUACGGCUUCCUGGGGAUCCCCCUGGACGGCCAUGUGGCCCGCUGGAUCCAGAACAACACUCGGGCCGACCCCACCCUGGCCAAGCACAAGUACGGCACCGUGCGGAACUCGGCUGCCACAGCUGAGAAGUGGCGCUUCCGCCUCUCCUACGACAUCGUGGCCUUCGCCCAGAGCACCCUGUCAGCAGGUGCUGGCCCAGCUGGGGUACAAGAUAGCCGGGUCGGAAGAGGAGCUGAAGAACCCCUCCAUCAGUCUGGUGGAGGAGCGGGACUUCGGCCCUUCUCGUGAGGCGGGCGUGCGGGGGGUGGGGCGCCAGGGGUCGGACCAUUUCUAACUGUUGCCUUAUUUCCCGCCCGCGCCCGCCCGCCCGUCUGUCUCGCCCGGCCUAUCUUUGUGUCCUCCCUGCCCUCUGCCCGCCUCUACUCCCUGCUGCCUCUUUUUGUCUCUGAAAUUUGCACUACCAUCGUAGGGGGAAUCCCUGGGGCAGAGGGCAGGGAGAAGUGGGGGACGCCCCGCACCCCAUGCAGACACACGGAUGUUGGGUCUCUAGGUGGACCGUGAUGAUGUUUACAAGCACCCCACUCACACAUGCACACAACGCACAUGGGGACCGGUGGGGAGAGGCACCCCGACCCCCAGCCUCCAAGCUUUUGGAAUGGAUGAGUGUGGGGUGGGGGGUUGGGGUUUUGCACUGUCUUACUUCUGCAAAGUAAGGGGAUGGAAACGAAGGACCACCUCUGGCUGACGUAGGAAAGGGGUCUCUCCCUCCCCCCUACCUGCUCCCCGCCCCUGGCACCCACCUUCUCCCUUAGAGUAGAGAUUCUGCUCCCUCCCUGCCUGCCGCCCUUGCCUGUCGGGGAGCAGGUUCUAACUGUGAGGUGAACGUGGGCCUUGUUGAUCUUCUCCAGUCUGUGGUGAUGCUGACUGUCUGUCUGUCUGUCCGUCUUAGUCUUGUGGCUGCCCCUGGACCGGCAAUAACGGGUGAGUCUUCUUACUAUGAAUUUCUGGUUGAUUUUGGGGUCCAUCUGUGAAAUUUCUUUGUGCCAAAAAGAAAAAAAAAAGAGAGUGGAUCAGUUUGCUAAAUGAACAUUGAAAUGCUUUAUCUGUGUUUUCUGUAAAUAAAAGUGUG